UACAGAGGGUGCGAGCGUUAAUCGGAAUUACUGGGCGUAAAGCGCGCGUAGGCGGUUCGUUAAGUCGGAUGUGAAAUCCCUGAGCUCAACUUAGGAAUUGCAUUCGAUACUGGCGAACUAGAGUAUGGGAGAGGAGGGUAGAAUUCCAGGUGUAGCGGUGAAAUGCGUAGAGAUCUGGAGGAAUACCGAUGGCGAAGGCAGCCUUCUGGCCUAAUACUGUCGCUGAGGUGCGAAAGCAUGGGGAGCAAACAGG
rnacentral:rRNA from 1 species